AGCAGGGGUUCAGAUAAAAAAUCGGCAGCUGGCAGCAGGAAGUGGCUGCCAUUGACAGCCGGAAGGCAGUAACUGACAGCCGGAAGGCAGUAACUGUCAGCCGGAUGGUAGGCGGGACCUGCCAUUCGGUGGGAGCCAAUCAGUAUCGACCAACCUGGGCGCAACCAAUCAGAUAUAACUGCACCCAAACGCUUCAGUAAUGGUUGCGAUUCAUCAAACGUUGCCAGAUGCUGUCCUGUUGAAAAUUCUUCUUUACGUGAUCCUGGAGGAGGGGUGAUGCUACAUUACUAAGUCCGUCUUUGGUUUGUUCCAAAUUCAGAAGUCUGCUGUACUGUAUACAGACUCCUUUCGAAAGAGGGCACAAUCCAGCUGGCUUGACGGAGUAUCUUCUUUUACAUAUUUGAUUAGAGGUUUAAAAAGGUGCCAUAACAUUACAUUUCUCAGUUGCCAUGUCUGAAUGUUUAUCUUUUGUAAUAAUGCUGUUUUCAUGCUCCUCAUCUCAAUAUACAGGUGGAACAAAAUGGAGAACAAGUCUAAGCCAUGUCAGGAAUUCAACAAUGUACACCCUGUAGACACUGCGAAGAGGUUUACAACAACUGCUUACCAGGUCACUGCAGUCACGCGGAUCGAGUACGUAUCCAGACCAGAUGGUGGAUCGCACCUAGAAAGGACCUCUACAGCCCUGAAAGACAGCGGAGACCAGGACAACUAGAGCCCCAGAUACAGAUCCCCUGUAAAGACCUUGUUUUUUUCUCCAUUUUGUCACCGGUGGAGUUUUGGUUCCUUGUCGCCUCUGGCUUGCUUCGUUGUGGUCACUUCAUUUACAGCGAUAUCACUGACAUGAUUGCAAAUGAUUCCACAGAUACUAUUUAAACUGAACCAAGCUGAAGGAUGACAUCACUGAAUUGAAUGAUAAACUGACUACAAACUGAGUUUACUAAUGUCCUUCUGCAUUAUUGACUGACACACUAUUUUACUAUUUAAUACUGUAAAGUUGCUUUGCUUUGAUCUGUAUUAUUAAAAGCACUAUAUAAAUAAACGAUGCUUGACUUGACCAUGUUGCAAGAGGAAAAUGAGGGGAGAUGCACAUCCACCCUGGGUUUUACAGUGAUUGGUGCAAGAUGCUGGAGAAGUAACUCUGUAUACCUCAUCAGUUCUGAUCUAAGAGUCUUGAAAAUACCUCCGGAUUGUUGUUCGUGAUUCUGAUUGAUAUUUUAGUCUGCGUGCUUACUGGAUAUAUUUUAUACGGUUUACAUUGUAAAGCACUGACUUUGACAACUUACUAACCCAGUUACAAAUUUAACAGCUACUUUAUACUAUAUAUAUAUAUAUAUAUAUAGUUGUUUCUUGAAAUACUACAAAUAUAACCGCAAAUUAUGAUUUUAA